UAACCGCGCUCUGUGCUGCUAAAAACGAAGAACAUUGAAUUAGACAAAUUAUAUUUUGAUUAUCUGCAUAUAAUAGCUCCUGCAAAUGGCCAUUACAUGCAGCAGGUCUGAAACUUGGUGGAUUUAACAUGUAGAACCUGCACAUUGGAUAAGAUCUGCGAAGGAGAUGGGUCCACCCUUCGAAUAUGAAUCUAUCUCCUCCUUUGUUAUGUAAAAGAGAUAUUUGAAGCUAAGUCACCCUCCAUAAUCUAAAUUCUCUCCGCUCUUUAUCUUUUUCCCCCCUCAAUCGAAGGUUUUACUGUUUUUAAGGGACACCCGCAUCCUCGGAACAAUAAGGUCAAGCAUACUUUUCCACCAAUUUUAAGCGGAAGACAGUUUUUGUGCAGUUAGCAAGAUUAUGAACGGACAAUAUUUGAAAUAAAAGCUCCAUUUUUAUUGCAUUGGUUAAUCAUGAAUUUGCAUUGAUUGACCAUGAAUGAUAAAUACACGAGAAAGAAGAAACAGGGAAACAAUAUUACUGGAAUUAGCAGUAUUACAGAAGUAGCAUCCCCAAAGAACGAACCCUUUAUGCCAAUAGGCCAGCUUCCCCAAGCACUUCCAAUAUUUCUUCCCUAUAGAAUGGAAAACCCUGACAUCAGGUAUUCUAUUUCUCCCUCCCUCUCCUUUUCCAUUUCUCCCUUCUUUCUUGCAGUCAAAUAAAGUUCAUCCUUACCUAUUCCUCCACCAUGUCCCCCCCUCUAUCUAAACUCAAGAUGUACAGAAUCCGCAUCCCUAGUUCUUUACAAUCGCACAACCAGUUUCCAAAAGCUUCAAUAGACAAAGUCUUGUCAAUUUUUCAGCGUCCUGCCAUUGCAGGAAACCUUUUCUUAAGGGAAAUAAUUCUUCUUCAGCAUCUAAA